AUCGCUUCUCGGCCUUUUGGUUAAGAUCAAAGUUUAGUGUCUGUUCUUAUUGAAUAUCAGAGCCUUGGAGCAAACAAUUGCAAAAUAAUGAUCAGUAAUGAUAGAUAUUGAUCGGGUUGGUCAGAGUUUCUACUUUUCAGCUCCCAAGUACCGACUUUCACA
rnacentral:snRNA from 1 species